rnacentral:lncRNA from 1 species
CCCUAUUUAACAAAAAUCAUAGACUAAAAGUCAUUUAACUCGCGAACGACUUAGUGUUCACCAUAUUCCCUAUGGGAUUCGACCCCAACCUUUGUUGGUUUUUAUAUUUGGCCAUGACCACUUAUACGUCUUAAGGGAUGUGUAUUUUGAGUGUAUCAAGGACCUUUUACGACAAUGACCUUGGAUCUUUAGCUACAACAGGCCUUAAGAAGGGAUUUCUUUUCAGUAGGCUGAACAAAAUAGUCCAUAGAGAAAGAUUACGGUAGGGUCCCAAUGAUUGGAGGCCCUAGCGCUUGCUUCAAGCCUUUACAAGGAGAUUAUAAAACUUCAAAGGGAUGCUUAGGAGAGAAAGAGUUCAGAGCGCCUUGAAGGACUGAUUACUCC